rnacentral:rRNA from 1 species
GAUGAACGCUGGCGGCGUGCUUAAUACAUGCAAGUCGAGCGAACAGACGAUGAGCUUGCUCCUCUGACGUUAGCGGCGGACGGGUGAGUAACACGUGGAUAACCUACCUAUAAGACUGGUAUAACUUCGGGAAACCGGAGCUAAUACCGGAUAAUAUAUUGAACCGCAUGGUUCAAUAGUGAAAGACGGUUUUGCUGUCACUUAUAGAUGGAUCCGCGCCGCAUUAGCUAGUCGGUAAGUUAACGGCUUAUCAAGGCGACGAUGCGUAGCCGACCUGAGAGGGUGAUCGGCCGCACUGGAGCGGGGACAGGGUCCAGACUCCUACGGGAGGCAGCAGUAGCGAAUCUUCCGCAAUGGGCGGAAGCAUGACGGAGCAACGCCGCGUGAGAGAUGACAGUCUUCGGAUCGUAAAACUCUGUUAUUAGGGAAGAACAAAUGUGUAAGUAACUAUGCACGUCUUGACGGUAACUAAUAAGAAAGCCACGGCUAACUACGUG